rnacentral:rRNA from 1 species
UACGUAGGGUGCGAGCGUUGUCCGGAAUUACUGGGCGUAAAGGGCUCGUAGGCGGUUUGUCGCGUCGGGAGUGAAAUCCACUGGCUUAACUGGUGGCUUGCUUUCGAUACGGGCAGACUGGAGGUAUGCAGGGGAGAACGGAAUUCCUGGUGUAGCGGUGAAAUGCGCAGAUAUCAGGAGGAACACCGGUGGCGAAGGCGGAUCUCUGGGCCAUUACUGACGCUGAGGAGCGAAAGCGUGGGGAGCGAACAGG